rnacentral:rRNA from 1 species
CCUACGGGUGGCUGCAGUCGAGAAUCUUUUGCAAUGGACGAAAGUCUGACAAAGCGACGCUGUGUGAAUGAUGAAGGCCUUCGGGUUGUAAAGUUCUUUCGCUUAGGAACAAGGUGAUACUAUGAAUAAUAGUUGAGCUUGAGGGUACUGAGUAAAGAAGCACCGGCUAACUCCGUGCCAGCAGCUGCGGUAAUACGGAGGGUGCAAGCAUUAAUCGGAUUUACUGGGCGUAAAGGGCGCGUAGGCGGGUCAAUAAGUUAGAUGUGAAAUUUCGGUGCUCAACACCGAAGCUGCAUUUAAAACUGUUGAUCUUGAGGGUAGGCGGAGAAAAUGGAAUUCCACGUGUAGCGGUGAAAUGCGUAGAUAUGUGGAAGAACACCGGUGGCGAAAGCGAUUUUCUAGCUUAUACCUGACGCUGAGGCGCGAGAGCAAGGGUAGCAAACAGGAUUAGAUACCCUAGUAGUC